AAGUCGUAACAAGGUUUCCGUAGGUGAACCUGCGGAAGGAUCAUUAACACGUAUCCACGUAUCAACCAACCGCGAACUUGUUUUCAUUUCUCCCUGCCGGUUACAUGAAUUGGUUAAUAGAGAAUGCAUUGUAUGAUGGGAAAGCUUUCGAGCUGCCCGAUGCACUCACUACCAUCUGGCGCAGUCGCUCUUUAUUGAGCGACGGCGACUAACAAUUGCAGUAACAGUCAGGCCAACCUUCUGCUAUCCGUCUCAUACCAUCAUAAGAGCGAUAGUGGAAAACAAAUUCACAUAUUUCACCACCUUUUUGCUAGUUGACUUUUAUAUGUUGUCUCAGCGCAGUACGCUAGUACUAAACUGAAACACACGUUUAUUAUUUGAACGUUAAAAUUACAACUCUUAGCAAUGGAUAUCUUGGUUCUC
rnacentral:misc_RNA from 1 species